rnacentral:rRNA from 1 species
CCUACGGGGGGCAGCAGUGAGGAAUAUUGGUCAAUGGACGAGAGUCUGAACCAGCCAAGUAGCGUGAAGGAUGACUGCCCUAUGGGUUGUAAACUUCUUUUAUAUGGGAAUAAAAUGUUCCACGUGUGGGCUUUUGUAUGUACCAUAUGAAUAAGGAUCGGCUAACUCCGUGCCAGCAGCCGCGGUAAUACGGAGGAUCCGAGCGUUAUCCGGAUUUAUUGGGUUUAAGGGGAGCGUAGGUGGAUUGUUAAGUUAGUUGUGAAAGUUUGCGGCUCAACCGUAAAAUUGCAGUUGAAACUGGCAGUCUUGAGUACAGUAGAGGUGGGCGGAAUUCGUGGUGUAGCGGUGAAAUGCUUAGAUAUCACGAAGAACUCCGAUUGCGAAGGCAGCUCACUGGACUGCAACUGACACUGAGGCUCGAAAGUGUGGGUAUCAAACAGGAUUAGAUACCCGAGUAGUC